rnacentral:tRNA from 1 species
UUUAUAGCUCAAUUGGAUAGAGCGUUAGGUUUCGGUUCUAACGGUUGUAGGUUCGAGUCCU